GGGGGGCGGGGCGUGUCGCGCUGUAGUGAGCCAGAGGUAGAGAGACCAGAGGAACGGCUAAGUAGGGUUUUAAAAAUAGUUUUACUCAAACAAAAAAACAGCUUUUAAAGUAAAAAAAACUCUGCUUUUACUCGCUUUAAGUGUCUGGUGGACCUUUUUAACGCCGUGUAGUGCCGUUUUCACUGAGUAGUUUACUAACAGUUUGUUAGUUAGCUAAGCUAAGCUACUGAGCUAAGAGCGCUUAGCAACCGUUAGUUAGCUAAUGAGCUUAGUUUGUUAACUAGCAGCUAGUUAGCGGUUAGCUUGUUUGUUUGUUUGGAGCAGCCGGAGGAGCUCGGAGUGAAAAUUCAGCGUCAAUUAACUGCUGAGCGAGAGAUACUGGACUCUACAGCGCCCUGCUGUGUAGCUGGAGCUGAAGUCACAGAGUGGGAUACAUGACUCCAGAGCUGCAGCCCAAAAGAGAGAGAGAAAGCGGGGGAGUGAGGGACGCUGAGGAAAAGGAGCCAGAACCGACCCAGCAGUGCGUUCAUUGGAGAAUGCAGAUAAAACGGCUGCGGUGCCAGAGUGUGGGAUACCGGACUCCAGAACUGCAGAGCUACAGCCUAAGAGAGGGAGCGGGAAAGUGAGGGAUGCUGAGCAGAAGGAGCCAGAAACGACUCCACCAGCACAGUUAUUGCAGGUCCCAAUCAGCAGCCCUGACUUCACAAGACCUGAUAUCACCUGGUACAAGCAUGUUUGCAGCAGACUCUUUAAGGCUGUUUUCACACCUGAAAGUCCGGACCAGAGUUCAUCAUACCAAGAAGAGGUUGUGGGGUCCUCACAACAAACUGAUGAUCAUCUGCUACUACAGAACAAGCAGCAAGACCAGCUGGUGGUUGUAGCAUGGUCCCUGUCUUGUAGCUCUGACCCAUCCAGGCAUGGACUCCACGAGACCGGGUCUCACUUGAAACAUGCACAUUUGCAGCAGAUCUUUAAGGGCGUUUUCACACCUGAAAGUCCGGACUAGAGUUCAUACCAAGCUACCUUUGGGAAGUGUACCUCUUGGUAAGAGACAUGCUUACAAGACACACUCGAAAACAGCCAACAGACUUUGAGAAGAGUGGUGUCAGGACUAAGUAACCUGGACUACUACAGACUGAAAUUGUAUCAUCUUUAAUGACAAAUCCAGGCUCAAAUAUGGAGAGAGCCUCAUGCUAAACGCAGCGCUCCCGACUCGACUCGACUCUUCUGAUAGGAUUAGAAGUCCUUGGGAGUUCCUUGGCGGGCAGUUCGAAGUCCCUUUGGUGUCUGAGGUGGAUGCUGACAAGCCUUCUUCACAGGGGUAUUGAUGUGGCAGGACCAUGGCAGUUCCUGUGAGAUGCAAACACCAAGAGAAAGGCUGCAGCUGCUGUUGUGAAAAUGUAGCCGAGCGAAUGACAAGAGGAAAAACAGUAAAGCAGCGCUUCCCCGGGCCACAGACCUUCCUUCAUCUUCUCAACUGCUACAGUGACUGUAAGAGCUGAGGGCGGUGCUGGCUGCUGCAGUCUAUCUGUUAAUAUUUGACAUGAAUUGAUUGUGGAUGUUUUGGAAGGUUUAUUCCUGCAGUUUCCUUUUCAAUCAGAAGUCGCUUUGACAGAGUGCUCGUGCCCGAUCAGGAGAUCUGAGAUCUGAAGCAGUUCAGGUACUGUUCUCAUAAAUGGUAGCUGUGUGCACUUCUAUCAGUGUUUUUACUAUUCACUUUUACUGUGUCUAAAUUUAGUCUCAUUUAGUCUCAAGUAUCAUUAGAAGAGAACACAGAGAGAGUCUCAGAAUUAAAAUGGAUUUCAGAUGUAGAAAUAGAUACAUUUGACAAGUCCCUUAAUUAUUAACAAUAUAAAUAAAUAAAAAAGUAAAAAAAAAAAAAAAAAAAAAAAAAAGGGGAAUAAAGGUAUUUCACAGGGUCCAAAAUUCUAAACCUAUAUCAAGCCUGACAGUUUGAUUGAAUUUAUUUAUUUUUUAUUUAUUUAACACUUCAAUUCUUUACCCCUGUUUAUUAUCAAUGCUUGGCUCUAAAUUGAACGUGUCACCUUAUGUGUAUUUCUGUAUGAAAAUACAUUUUGGUUAAUAGACUUUUAUUUUAUUAUAAUUCUGCUGCAGUUUGGUUUAUUCUACUUAUUUUUAUUUUUUUUCUGUCCCGUCAAACUGUUACACUGUAAACAUUUAAAUCACCUUGAGUUACGAGACCUGUUUCAUACAUUAUAUCCUACUUUAUAUCUAAGAGUUUAAAAUGAUGUUGACAGAAAAUGCUUCAUUAAAGGAGUAACAUGAUCUAAUUCAAA